UGCCGCCCUAGAGCCUUUACCCUAUAACAGUGAAAUCAACAAUGGCUGUGUCAGGAGAAAUCUUUAACUUAGAUUAUUACAAGAUACUCUAAUGUUUAAAGAGCAAUCCGACAUAAGUGAAGAGGCAGGCGGCUGCUGCAAGUGAAUCUUGAGGCUUUUGGCUGAGGAGAAAACACAGAAAAUCUGAAAAAAGAUUAUUUGUGAACUUUCACCUACUUUUUCACCUUUAUAACUGGUAUAUUAUAUUUAAUUUUAACAUAGUAUUUUAUAGGUCCUUGGCAUACCCUCUCCAGAGGAAAUCAUUUUCUUCUAAGAGCACGUAUAAAUGAAUGUGCUAUAAUUCUACUUCAAAUAUGAAUGCAGCAUACAGAGAUAUCACAGAGGAAGACUAUUAACUGUUAAAUUGGAAUUCAUCCUCUUAUGAAUAUUUCAGGAAGGUCUUUGGGGGUGGAUACUGAUCCAGUAUGGCUAGUAUUCUUAUAAGAAGAGGAAAUUAGUAUGCAGACAUGCACUAAGAGAUCAUAGGAAGAUAAAGCCAAGAAGAGAAGCCUCCCAGGAACCAACUCUGCUGAAGUUUGAUCUCAAACUUCUAGUCUCCAGAACUAAGAGAAAAUAAAAUUUAUAUUGUUUAAGUAA